CCGGUAUCUGAGAUGGUGGAGGAGUGGUUGUCCUCUGACCAGCUGAACCAAUGCAGCAAGAAGUAAAAGGCUGGAGACGCAGGGGGAUCGUCGAAAAUCAUCUGGCUCUUUGACUGCUAACCCAUGCUAAUCAUUCAUGCGGGCAUUCAUAUACAUAUGAGGUAAUCCAAGACUGAGAAAAGAGACAACCGGAUGGGGGAAAAAAGGUGCCAGUUACACCAAAGGUUAUAUAUUCUCCACUUCUGAAGGUAAAUAUGUCUAGUGGAUUCCCUUCGGCUAUUUAAGAGUAUCUUUUGUACUUCCAAUGAAUAUGUGAUCUCUAGGCCUGAGAACCAUUAAGGAACCAAGCUUGUAGUUGCAGGACGUUAAAACUGGGGUAAAGCGUCGGACCCACAAGCUGAGACAAUAGUCGAGGUUUGAUCGGGAGCCACCACAGAGGGCAAGAGGUGAGUUUGAAGAAAUAAGGAAAGCAAACUUUUCUUGGCAAAGUUGGUG